UACGGAGGGUGCAAGCGUUAUCCGGAUUCACUGGGUUUAAAGGGUGCGUAGGCGGGCAGGUAAGUCCGUGGUGAAAUCUCUGAGCUUAACUCAGAAACUGCCAUGGAUACUAUUUGUCUUGAAUAUUGUGGAGGUGAGCGGAAUAUGUCAUGUAGCGGUGAAAUGCUUAGAUAUGACAUAGAACACCAAUUGCGAAGGCAGCUCACUACACAGUCAUUGACGCUGAGGCACGAAAGCGUGGAGAUCAAACAGG
rnacentral:rRNA from 1 species